GAUGAACGCUGGCGGCGUGCCUAAUACAUGCCAGUCGAGCGAACAGACGAGGAGCUUGCUCCUCUGACGUUAGCGGCGGACUGGUGAGUAACACGUGGAUAACCUACCUAUAAGACUGGGAUAACUUCGGGAAACCGGAGCUAAUACCGGAUAAUAUAUUGAACCGCAUGGUUCAAUAGUGAAAGACGGUUUUGCUGUCACUUAUAGAUGGAUCCGCGCCGCAUUAGCUAGUUGGUAAGGUAACGGCUUACCAAGGCAACGAUGCGUAGCCGACCUGAGAGGGUGAUCGGCCACACUGGAACUGAGACACGGUCCAGACUCCUACGGGAGGCAGCAGUAGGGAAUCUUCCGCAAUGGGCGAAAGCCUGACGGAGCAACGCCGCGUGAGUGAUGAAGGUCUUCGGAUCGUAAAACUCUGUUAUUAGGGAAGAACAAAUGUGUAAGUAACUAUGCACGUCUUGACGGUACCUAAUCAGAAAGCCACGGCUAACUACGUG
rnacentral:rRNA from 1 species